CAGAAGAGGAGCAUCCAGGUUUUUUUCUCUUUCAGUCUUUCUGUCUCUUUGAUUCCAGUCUGAGCCGAGCCAAGCCGGACCGAGCCUAGCUCUGAAAGGUCCUGAACGCAUCAGCGCGCGCAUUGAGGCGAUGGGGCCGUGAGCUGAGCCGAGCCGAGACGAAGUGAGCCGAGCAGCCGAGUAAGGCGAUGCUGCAGAGUGGACCCGGUGAAGAAGACUCCUAUCGUGCACACGCCUCACACGCACUUUUCUCUGCUUUGGACCGCGCGUGCACGCCCAGCAUGGAGCCCAACUCGUGCGCGGGAGGCUGCCGACGCACGCGUGACGCGUGCGUUCCUGUGCUGCUGCUGCUGCUGCUGCACCUGAUCUCCGUGCACGGAGGUGUCAUGGCGACCAACUCCACCCAGCUAGACGCCACCGCCAACGGGACCGCCCCACUUAGCGAGCAGGAGAGGCUCGCUGAUGUGGUCACUGUGGCAACCAGACCAAGUGGCUCAGUCAGGCCCGACGUCAUCAACACUGUGACCCCAAGGGCGGGCCGUGUGCCCCGUGCUGGAAGGGAGGAGGAAGUGGGCAGCGGCUUGUUUGGUGAACCUGUAGUUCCGGGCGUGGAGGAAGUGGGCGUGGCCUCGCCAUCUCAAAUCAGCCCGGAUUCAGCCGAGACGGAGCUACUGUUGCCUAGCAAUCCUGGCAAACAUGACGUGAGAGAAGAAGAGGGGCUUGUGGUGCACAACGACCCACCAUGGAUUCACGACAAGGACAUUGCUGUAUUUGACCUUGACCCAUCCUUCACCAGCACCCACGCCGCCCCGCCCCCACCCGUCACCCACCCCGCCAACCCCGACGUUCUCCAUGUGGACUUCUUUGACCCGUCCUCCCGUGGGCGUAACCUGGAUUUGACUCGGCCUUCCACCUCAUCCCCGGCACAUGAGCUUCAGGGCGGUGACCCAACUUCCUGGGCCAUGCCUGACAACUACGACUACCUCACGCCGUACGAGGAUGGCGUGUCGCCCACAGCUGACGAGUACGCCGACACCACCACCGACGCCUAUGAGAGCGACGGGUCUCCAGCUCGUUCCAGGCCGCGGGGUCCUGGCGUCCUCGUGCCAAACUUCCCCGCCGGGGUGCCUCCAGCCGCUGCCCCGGUGGACGGCUCUGAUGGGAUGGGCGGAUGUCGCGUGGGCUACCAGAUGGUCAACGCCUCCUGCCGCUCGCCCUGCGAAUUUGUGCCCAACUACUGCUACAAUGGAGGACAGUGUUACCUGCUGGAGGGCGCUGGAACCUUCUGCAGGUGUAACGUGCAAGACUACAUUUGGCACAAGGGUGCUCGCUGCGAGGCGGUGGUGACGGAGUUCCAGGUGAUGUGCUUGGCGGUGGGUGCGUCGGCCGUGGUGGUGUUGCUGCUCUUCAUGAUGGUGGUCUGCUUCGCCAAGAAGCUGCAUGUGCUCAAGACAGAGAACAAGAAGCUGCGCAGACGCAGUAAGUACCGGCCCACGUCGGAGCAGCACAAUGAUAAUUUCUCGCUGUCCACCAUCGCUGAGGGCUCCCACCCAAAUUAACUCCCCCUUACUUCCCCUAAUGCAUGGGCAUGAGUAUCUGAGUAUCGAUACUCUGAGGCGAGCGUGAGAGGGGGGAGGAGGUGAGGGGGGUGUUUGAAGAGCGAUGGAGGAUGGUGGUCGUAUCAGACAGAAAAGUCUUCUAUGUAGAUAUAGAUCUAUGCAAAAGACUUUCAUGUCUCUUGUGGACUAAAUCAUCCUAUCACAGUGAGGCUUUUGCAGCCUGUUGCCAUGACGAUCCCCUCUCCCCCGCGUGGCUUUAACUGCCACCAUCCUUCACUCCUUGCCGCCGCCAUCUUUCUCUGACCUCGCCUCUUGCAUCGGUAAGUCCUGGCAUGACGCGCGCCCCCCCACCCCAAACCCGGUGGCCAUGCCAGUCGCUGCAGCUCUGCUUUGCUGUCUUCUAACAAACUGUCUUGUUUAUCCUGAAAGUGGGCGGGACAGGGGGUGGGGUCAUACACUCUGGGUGGGAGGUCACACUGAAGGUUAUAUGGGGGAUAUCAGGAUAAACAUCUGAGAUGCAAGACCUGGACUAACUGUAGCAUGGAUAGUUAGUAGCCUAGCUAGUUAGCCUAGCAUGGCGGGAUGGUGUAGAAAUAACAUGCCAUGCUGACGUGUUCUACAUGAGCGUGUUAUUUUUUUUACGCCAUUCAGCAGCAUGGUUGCACUUUGCGCUACAGCCGAGGUUGAAUGUGUUUUGUUUCUGCAUUCUGGUAGGAGUGGUACCUCCCUCUAACUGAAGAAAGAACAUUUUCAGAACUAUCUCACACAAAAAGACCAAAAAGAAACAUCUUCAUCACGUCUCCCCCAAAACAUCUCAAGAAGGUCACAGCCAACAGUCCCUAACAAAGAAACGUCCUACUGCACACUACAACACUAAAAAGACAAUUUAUUUUAUUUUAUUUCUAACCUUUUGUUGGCUUCUCGGUACUACUCAAUAGGAGCAUAGGAGGCGUGCUGUGAGAAAGAAGCUAACAACGCUAACUACCCUACCAAUUAAUUCUAAUUAACUAACUAAUUCUGUUAUAAUUAUUAUAAUGUGAUUAUUUUAGCCAUGGCUGAACACAUCAGUCUCAUUUAAAAAAUGUAAAACCAAUGAGAAGAAGUGUAGAGUUCUCGUUACUUCCUCUCUUCCUGUCUGCCUCGUCUUUCUCGCUGUAAGCUCCGCCUCUCUGUCUCUCUCCGCCCUCCCUCUGUCGCUAUGACGAUGCUUGUCUGCUUUGAGGAGUAUAACCUUUGACCACCCCCUCCCCUCAGAAAACCAUGAGCAGAUACACGUGGGAGUGUAAGACCAAAGAGGAGUCCGACUGUGAGUUUCACGCUGACGGGAGGACAGAGGGCCCAUACCCCGUAACCAUGGAAGUCACGUACCCGCACGUCCUGCCGGAAGUUAC